CGAGUCGGCCGGACGGUCGCGGCGGCACACCAGCCGUCGAGGAAAGUCCGGGCUCCACAGGGCAGGGUGAUCGGUAACACCGACCCGGGGUGACCCGCGGGAAAGUGCCACAGAGAACAGACCGCCGGUGCUCGCACCGGUAAGGGUGAAACGGUGGUGUAAGAGACCACCAGCGCCCGGGGUGACCCGGGCGGCUCGGCAAACCCCACCCGGAGCAAGGUCGAAAGGGACUGGUUCGCCAGUCCUGCCCGAGCGCUCGAGGGCUGCCCGCCCGAGCUCGGGGGUGGACCGCACGAGGUCGUUGGCAACAACGGCCCUAGAUGGAUGACCGUCGCCUGACCCUCGGGUCAGGGCACAGAACCCGGCUUACAGGCCGGCUCGUUCC
rnacentral:RNase_P_RNA from 1 species